AAUUUCUCAUUUUAAACUGUGAUUUUGAAUCUAGCCUUAACCCUAAACCAAACUGCUAACAUUAUGCCUAACCUUAAAUUAAGACCGAAAAUCUAUUUGUAUGCAUUUUUACGUUAUUGACUUUGUGGUUACUAGAGGAAACCUUCGGUAUCUUUCAAAAACAAAGAUUUUUUAUGUCAUUCGAGAUAAUAAAUGCUCACUUUAAGGCACAUAGUGACUACGGCCUGGUUUCGAGAGAAUAAUUAAUUAAUAUAGUUUGGGACUAUGAUAUAGUUUGCAUCGGCACAAUUGGGCAGACAAAUAUUAUGAAGAUAGAGGUGGCGUAUUUCAGCUAAAGCUUGGCAGUGAAACGACUUUUUAUAAAAAUGGCGCCGACCAAUGCAACCUGUCCCAUAGUAUAGUAAACUCACAUGUAACGUGGUUUAUUUGUUGCUACAUUUAUCGAGCAGGCUUUUCACCAAACAGCAAUGUUUGUCGCUCGAAGUAUUGCAGCGGACCACAAGGAUCUUAUUCAUGAUGUUUCAUAUGAUUUCCAUGGCCGGAGAAUGGCAACUUGCUCUAGUGACCAAAGUGUCAAGGUGUGGGACAAGAGUGACAACGGAGAGUGGAACUGCACUGCCAGUUGGAAGACCCAUAGUGGAUCAGUAUGGAGGGUGACCUGGGCCCAUCCUGAGUUUGGUCAGGUGCUGGCCUCCUGCUCCUUCGACCGGACCGCUGCUGUGUGGGAGGAGAUAGUUGGGGAGUCCAAUGACAAACAGAGAGGACUCAGUCACUGGAUCAAGAGGACCACUCUGGUGGACAGCAGGACGUCGGUGACUGACGUGAAGUUUGCUCCUAAACACAUGGGUCUGAUGCUGACCACUUGCUCAGCAGACGGGGUUAUGAGGAUCUAUGAAGCUCCAGACGUGAUGAACCUCAGCCAGUGGUCCCUGCAGCAGGAGAUCUCCUCUAAACUCAGCUGCUCCUGUAUCUCCUGGAGCCCCUCCAGCUCCCGUGCCCACGCCCCCAUGAUAGCAGUGGGCUCUGAUGACAGCAACACAGCAUACAGCGGGAAAGUUCACAUCUAUGAAUACAUUGAAAACACAAGGAAGUAUGCUAAGGCAGAAAAUCUGAUGACGGUGACAGAUCCAGUCCAUGACAUUGCCUUUGCUCCCAACUUGGGACGCUCUUUUCACGUGCUCGCCAUCGCCACCAAAGACGUAUGCAUCUUCAAGCUGAUACCAAUGAGGAACGAGUCUGCAGUGGGGUCGUCUGGUCCCACUAAGCUGCAGGUUCAGAUCCUGGCCCAGUUUGACAACCACAACUCCCAGGUGUGGAGAGUCUCCUGGAACAUCACCAGCACCUUGCUGGCCUCGUCAGGGGAUGAUGGCUGUGUCCGACUCUGGAAAGCCAAUUACAUGGAUAACUGGAAGUGUACGGCCAUCCUGAGAGGAGAUGGUAGCCCAGUGACUGGCUCUUCCAGUCAGGCUGCAGUCCCCAGUACAGCAGGGGGACCACAACACGUGGUAGGAAGAAAGAAAGCUCAGCUGAUGCCUAGCUAACGGAGUGGCUUGAUGAUGCUGCUUGUUGCAUGAACACACACACACACACACACACACACACACAGGAAUGGAAAGAGAACUCCCUCCCCUGCAGACCUCCCAGAAACACCUCUGAACCCUUUUUUAUACUAAUCUAGAACCACACUGACUGAUCAGGGUUCUAGAUCAAAGUUCUAGAGUGGGUUUUAUGUCAGUAUUGACUUAUGCUAGUGAAUGAAGUAUCCUGUUGGUGUAUCUGACUGACUGGUUGGGGUGUAUCUGACUGACUGGUUGAGGCAUUAUGGGGUGUCUGAUAUUUUGCUGGAGAACUACAUGGGAGUAUGGGUUAUGGUUUAGGUAUGGUGAGAGAGGGAACCACUGGUGAUAUUGGGGUGGGCUCUAAGACAUAAUGGGUUUAGAGUAACUUUCGAAAAAUGUCCUGGUUUUCCAGAAAUCCAGGUUGAAACAUUCCUGUAAUUAGGAGAGAAUAAGCAGGAAAUCCCAGAACCUUUUUUUCCUUGAAAACCAGGGAACUUUUGGAAGGUUACCAGAGUUUUGCAACCCUAAGUGGGUUCAAGUGAGUUCUAGGUAAUAUUGUGGAGGGGUCUGCAUAAUGUAAAUUACCCUGUGGUUCUGCCUGACUGACUGACUGGUGGAUGAGGUGGUUCUGACUGACUGACUGGUGGAUGAGGUGGUUCUGACUGACUGACUGACUGGUGGAUGAGGUGGUUCUGCCUGACUGACUGGUGGAUGAGGUGGUUCUGACUGGUGGAUGAGGUGGUUCUGCCUGACUGACUGGUGGAUGAGGUGGUUCUGACUGGUGGAUGAGGUGGUUCUGACUGGUGGAUGAGGUGGUUCUGCCUGACUGACUGGUGGAUGAGGUGGUUCUGCCUGACUGACUGGUGGAUGAGGUGGUUCUGCCUGACUGACUGACUGCUGGAUGAGGUGGUUCUGCCUGACUGACUGACUGGUGGAUGAGGUGGUUCUGCCUGACUGACUGACUGGUGGAUGAGAAGAUGACAUCUGAGACUAACGUUAAAAUCUUUGGGGUGAUGAAUAAUUUAUGAAAAACAAUUAAUUCUGUAUAAUAAAGUUUAAUCCAGUGUUUUCAGUCUCUUGGUGCAUGGUGUUCAAUUAAUCCAGUGUUUUCAGUCUCUUGGUGCAUGGUGUUCCAUUAAUCCAGUGUUUUCAGUCUCUUGGUGCAUGGUGUUCCAUUAAUCCAGUGUUUUCAGUCUCUUGGUGCAUGGUGUUCCAUUAAUCCAGUGUUUUCAGUCUCUUGGUGCAUGGUGUUCCAUUAAUCCAGUGUUUUCAGUCUCUUGGUGCAUGGUGUUCAACUGGGUUGGUGGUCAAGUGUAGACUGAUGUUUCAUACUCAUUUGCAUUUCAUUUUUAAUUCGCCUAUUCCAUCAAUCUUUUUUAUUUUAAACAAAAAACAUUUUUUUUACGUGAGAAGUGGGCAUUGGUCUGAGACGGUUUUUCUUUUUUCAGCAGACCGCUUUGACCUACUACAGUAGCUAUGUUGAUCUAAUGUACUCCAAACUAUGUGUAGGCAGGUUGCUUAGGUGUCAAACCUUAUCAAACAGCCGAAAUCAUAGUCUUAGAGGAGGUGCUCCCACAAUCGUGAUUCGUACCCCAUACAAGGUAAAGAACUGGAUUCUUCACACAACUCACUAAUCCCAUUCAUUACCUUUUCAAGCUUUUUUAAAUGAUAUUAAAGCUUUGCUUUUAUACUUACAA